rnacentral:rRNA from 1 species
GAGGAAUAUUGGACAAUGGGUGCAAGCCUGAUCCAGCCAUCCCGCGUGAAGGAUUAAGGACCUAUGGUUUGUAAACUUCUUUUGUACAGGGAUAAACCUAUCUACGUGUAGAUAGCUGAAGGUACUGUACGAAUAAGCACCGGCUAACUCCGUGCCAGCAGCCGCGGUAAUACGGAGGGUGCAAGCGUUAUCCGGAUUUAUUGGGUUUAAAGGGUCCGUAGGCGGAUCUAUAAGUCAGUGGUGAAAGCCGACAGCUUAACUGUCGAACUGCCGUUGAUACUGUAGGUCUUGAGUAAAUUUGAAGUGGCUGGAAUAAGUAGUGUAGCGGUGAAAUGCAUAGAUAUUACUUAGAACACCAAUUGCGAAGGCAGGUCACUAAGAUUUAACUGACGCUGAUGGACGAAAGCGUGGGGAGCGAAC